AACGCAUAUUGCGCCCUUUGGUAUUCCGAAGGGCAUGCCUGUUCGAGCGUCAUUAUCACCCUUCAAACUUCAGGUUUGGUGUUGGGCUUUCGUCAUUCUUAGGGGUGACGGGUCUCAAAGAUAAUGACGCCGUCCCUUGGGGAACCGGUACGAGGAGCUUUUAACUAAGCAUGUACACGGGAAGACCUUGGUGUCGGCGUUUUUCAACUAUUUUUUACCAGUGUUGACCUCGGAUCAGGUAGGAAUACCCGCUGAACUUAA
rnacentral:misc_RNA from 1 species